GGGCGACAAGAGGAUGAAAUUAACAGUGGGCAGGACACAUGAACAUUUUUGCAUCGAGUGUGCUAUAAAAAUUAUUGAUUCAGAUAUUGCUAAAUUAAAGGCUUUACGUGAAGCAUUGUUGAGUGAAUGAAGUUUCGUUAGUACACUCAUGAACCUGUUCAGUCUUUGGGGAGGUAUUAUUUCGUAAUCAGCAAACUUCUUGUGUUGUACAACCUAGUAACCAGUGAGGCUCUACCACUGUAUCGGCCCGUGUGCCGUGGAUAGGGCUCAACUUCAACGGGCUACGCCGGAGGCCUCCGCCUGGGGCCAAUGGAAGAAGAUCAAUCAGGCUAGGUAACGGGUCAGCGCGUCGCUCCGCGAAUCCGGUACCGAAACUCAAAUGAGUGACUGCGCUCGGAGAUGCUUAUGUAUCGCUGUUUUCGGACGGGGGUUCGAAUCCCCCCGCCUCCACCA
rnacentral:tmRNA from 1 species